rnacentral:rRNA from 1 species
UACGGAGGGUGCAAGCGUUAAUCGGAAUUACUGGGCGUAAAGCGCGCGUAGGUGGUUUAGUCAGUCAGAUGUGAAAGCCCUGGGCUCAACCUAGGAAUUGCACCUGAUACUGCUAGGCUAGAGUACAGUAGAGGGGAGUGGAAUUUCCUGUGUAGCGGUGAAAUGCGUAGAUAUAGGGAGGAAGACCAGUGGCGAAGGCGACUCUCUGGACUGAUACUGACACUGAGGUGCGAAAGCGUGGGGAGCAAACAGG